AUUGAACGCUGGCGGCAUGCUUUACACAUGCAAGUCAAACGGUAACAGGCCUUCGGGUGCUGACGAGUGGCGAACGGGUGAGUAAUGCAUCGGAACGUGCCCAGAGGUGGGGGAUAACGCAGCGAAAGCUGUGCUAAUACCGCAUGUGAUCUGAGGAUGAAAGCGGGGGACCAAGCAGCAAUGUUUGGCCUCGCGCCUCUGGAGCGGCCGAUGUCAGAUUAGGUAGUUGGUGGGGUAAAGGCCUACCAAGCCGACGAUCUGUAGCUGGUCUGAGAGGACGACCAGCCACACUGGGACUGAGACACGGCCCAGACUCCUACGGGAGGCAGCAGUGGGGAAUUUUGGACAAUGGGCGCAAGCCUGAUCCAGCAAUGCCGCGUGCGGGAAGAAGGCCUUCGGGUUGUAAACUGCUUUUGUACGGAACGAAAAGGCUCUGGCUAAUACCUGGGGCUGAUGACGGUACCGUAAGAAUAAGCACCGGCUAACUACGUG
rnacentral:rRNA from 1 species